UAAUAACAAUUUCUAAAUCAGAGGAAAGAACAAGUAUUAUAUGGAAGAAGAACAACAUUGACUGGCAGCAAUACUGGAAUCAGGAAACAAAGGGAAGAAAUCUUCAUACAAUACAAAAUAGAGUGGGUAUUGAGAGAUACAGAGGAGGAAAUAGAAGACUAGUGGUAACAAGGAGUAGAAUCAGAAUAGGACACAGUCAUCUAAACAGAACACUUUAUAUCAAUUUAAAACAUCCAACUGGUGUGUGUGAUGUGUCAACAAGCUGAAACAAUAGACCAUGCUAUUAUUAAUUUUAGGAGAUAUGUCCAGGAAAGACAGAACAUGAUGACAGGGAUGGAAAAAGUUGGACUGAUAGGGACCAGUCUUAAAAGCAUUCUUGAGUGUGGUGAGAAAGAGCAAGGCCGGAGAUAUUUAUUUGAAUUUCUCUUAAGAACAGGAUAGUUAAGGAGAAUUUAGAUAAUAAUAGUAUUAGUUCCAGUAGGUGGCAGUAAUGAAACUAAGAGGAUGUCAGCUGCCUUAAAACCUCAAAGAAGAAGAAGUUGGGCCAUUCUCUUUCCAGUUUGUUUCAGGGUCUGUAAAUUUUACUUGGUGUUUGUAAAUGUGUUUGUUGACUUGUUUUCCAAAAUGUGAAUUUUUCUCAGAUUUUGUUUUCACCUAUCGGCCACCGUAGAGAUAUAACUAAUAAUAAUUGUUUGUUUUUGAGGAGGAGGAGGAGGAGAAGGAGGAGGAGGAGGAGGAGGAGAAGAAGGAGGAGGAGGAGGAGAAGGAGAAGAAGGAGGAGGAGGAGGAGGAGGAGGAGAAGAAGAAGAAGGAGGAGGAGGAGGCGGCGGCGGCGGAGGAGGAGAAGAAGAAGAAGAAGAAGGAGGAGGAGGAGGAGGAGGAGGAGGAGGAGGAAAAAGAAGAAGAAGAAGAAGAGGAGGAGGAGGAGGAGUGUGAUAUCGAGUCCCAUCAGCAAAAAGAGGGUCUCAGGAGAUCCCCGAGAAGUUCCUCGUUAAACAAGAGGCUCAAACAUA
rnacentral:lncRNA from 1 species